GCGCGGGUAGCUCAGUGGUUAGUAGCGCCGUUCUUAUAAAUCGGAAGUCGGGGGUUCAAUUCCCUCCCCGCGUACCA
rnacentral:tRNA from 1 species